CGUUGCAAAAAUCCACCUUAAAAGUUCUUGGAAAGAAAGCACGAGAAAUCGAAUCCCAGUUGGGUUCUAGGGUUGCCAGAUUUCGAAAAGUAAAAAAACCAGGGCACCCCGAAAGUUCUUAGGAAGACCCCAAAUUGCUGAACGCUGUUUUUAAAAGAAACCACCUAAAUCAUUGAGCUUUUUAAAAGGGAAAGGCGUGGAAAAAAACCAUGAUUUUUCGAUUGACUUUCCUGAACUCCAGGACAAAGCACCACUUUUGGGAAAUUCCCUCCAAUGUCAAUUCCGCCAUUGAAAUCCCAGUAGUGUCCAGUCGUAUGGCAGUCCUAAACCCAUAGAAGGCAGCCAGAACAAACCCCCAAAGUAAGGCAGUAAGUCUCACUGGACUGGGCAAAGAUGCUUGGGGAGGAGGGGUGUGCACUCUAGGUUGAUGCUUGUCUGCUACUGGAUUUUUUAUUUUUAAAGAAAACACUAGGUGCUGGGGCCUGGAUUCAGUGGUGUCCUGAUAUCUGUAAGUUGUGUGGCAUUGGCUCAGAAGCCACAGCCAUCCUUCCAAGAGUCUGCGAGGCAGAGUUGUAGGAAGCAGUUUUGUAGCCCACACAAAGAGGAUGCAGUGCCAUCUUCUGCCUUUUAUCUAAUGGGCUCUUGUUUCUUUUUAAUGCCUCAAACUGAUAGUCCUCAAAAUAUUGCACACCUCCAAGAGGAAGUAUGGCGUCAGAUAUCUUGGGAUGGGAUAGGAUACUUUGGGCUGAAUCCAGGUUUUCCCUCCCCCCCCCAAACAAAUUAUCAUCACUGUGAUGAUGCCACCAAAGCUUGUAUACAGUGGUACCUCGGGUUACUUUUCACUUCAGGUUACAAACUCCAUUAACCCAGAAAUAGUACCUCGGGUUAAGAACUUUGCUUCAGGAUGAGAACAGAAAUCGUGCUCCGGUGGCACGGCAGGAGGCCCCAUUAGCUAAAGUGGUGCUUCAGGUUAAGAACAGUUUCAGGUUAAGAACAGACCUCUGAAACGAAUUAAGUACUUAACCCGAGGUACUACUGUACCUUUGGGGGGUGGGAAUAAACAACUGCAAUAACUUCUUCAUUUAAAAGCAGUGUCAGUUAAGGCUGACAAUACACAGUGCUUCCUGCAGUACUGUAAUUAAGAAUAAAUAAUCAUAAAAUUGUAGAGUUGGGGACUCUGAGAGUCAUCUAGUCCAACCCCCUGCAGUGUAGGAAUCUCAACUAAAGCAUCCAUGAAGAUGGUCAUCCAACCUCUGCUUAAAAACCUCCUAGGAAGGGGAGUCCACCACCUCCCACAGGAGUCCAUUCCACUCUUGAACAGCUGUCACUGUCAGAAAGUUCUUCCUGGUGUUUGGUCGGAAUCUCCUUUCUUGUAUCUUGAAUCCAUUGGACUGAGUCCUACCCUCCAGAGCAGGAGAAAACAGUUUGCUCCAUCUUCCAUGUUUCAGCCCUUUCAAUAUUUGAAGAUGGCUAUCAUAUAUUGCAAAUUAGUGAUGCUUGUUCAGUGGAGUUUUAUGGAAGAAUGUUCUGAAAUGAGGGCUUUCAACUAUAACCUAUUGCUACCAGGUAGAAGGGACCAGUUUUUAACUGAUACCCGAAAAUAAAUGAUAUUUGAUGAAAGUGUUAUCUUCAGUGAUGCACAGCUGUUAGAAUAUAAUCUUUGGGUUGCCCAUGAUUUUCAUAUCCCACCUUUUACCAAUUAAGAAUUAACCUAAGGCAAGUAACUAUGCACACAAUGUGGAUUAAUAUUCUCAAACCUUUAACAUUAAACCAUUGACACUUUUUUCUUAUAGUGCUCCAAAAAAGUUUUUGUCAGAUGGUUCAGACUAUUGGACUAGGUCAGGGAUGGAGGACCCUUUGGUCUGUGGGCCUAGUUUGGUUGCUAGGUCUCUCAAUCUGUUUCCCAGCAUUUGCCAUGGACUGGGAUAAGGAUGAAAUCUGUGCCUACCCAGUUCAACAGUGUUGAUCUGCUGAAGGGCAGGGAUGGUCUGACUUUCAUCUCCAUCGUGGUAUGCUGGAUGGAGAAGUUUUAACCUCCAUGCCUCACACACAACAAUUGGGAAGACAACCCCCCCCCCCCCCCAUAUUUACGUAAAUCAUCUGAUGAGUGAUGAAUGAUGGUUCAUCCCCAUUGUGGCACACUGAACAGGAAGGGUAAAACCUCCCCCGUGUACCACAAUAGGGAUCAAAACUGGACCUUCAAGGGAUCCACGCCAGUCAGCUGAGGAGCAGGGAGCUUCACUUUUCAUUCCUAUCCCAGCACAUGGCCUCCCUGCCCACCUUGUGUUAGGGAUUAAUACCAGGUCUUUCCCCCUAGAUGAUCCUCCCAGGGAGGAGAAAUUACAGAUGUGGUGCAGCUACCAAGGAGGCUCUGCUCCACAAGAGUGCCAGCCUGUCUUCCAGCUUUAUUCUUCAACAGUAGGGAUGAGAAUAUGCAACACAGUUAAGGGAAGGAGAAUUUAGACUUAUUACAGUACUAUCUUUCUCCAUAGAUCAAUAAAUACUUUUUUUCUUUCUUUUUUUACAAAAUCCAUUCCCCAUUUGUUCAUUGUAGGAGGGAAUGAGAAAUCCAUUGCUCUGUAAUUAUUCUAGCGAGAAGUAAAAUACAAAAACAUUCAUAGCUUUGACUAUGUAGAAAUUGAUUGUUACUAUAAACAAAGUUAGUCUGAUGAAAUCCAUAGAAAUAUGCCAAGUUACACAUCCUGGAACCAUAACUUCUGGUGAGGAAACGUUUUCCAUUUCUUCAAAUCUGCAUGCAUAUUGUUGUUGCUAACAAAGAAUUGCCUUUGAGAAAAUAGUUCCAACUGCAGUGAAAUGAAUCCAUCCACUUACAUUGUCUAGUAGAAAUGUAUGGAAUGAUGUGCCUAUGCCAGUUCCUUCAAAAGCCUGUGUAUCAAAAAACAAAAUCUGUGCUUAUUCAUACUUUCUCCUUUCAGUUAAAAUUGCAGUGAUUUUUAGACCUUUUCAGUGGUGAUGUAUGCUGAAAUGAAUGUCCUGGAGAUUCCCACUUAAAAUUCCCCUGCAUCUUACAAAGACACCAUUGUAUCCUAGUACUCAGUCCAUUAGCCCUAGUAGCUUUGGGGGGAAAGUUCUCUGAAGGGGGAAAAAAUAUUCCCAGCCUGAUACAUUGUAGGUACAUCUACCCAUACUCACCAUUUUACCAGGAGAAAACUGUUGGAUUGAUAAAAAGCAGUACCUACUUUUCUUUGGCUCCAUCAACAUUUCUCUGGCCUUUUGGUGUAUAUCACUAUAGUUUCUUCCAGAUUUAUAUCCCCCUUUUUGAAAACACUGGUUCAUAGUUAUCCCACAAUGUGUUGCUAUGAUUAGAGACGAAAGUAGGGAAGAACUCACUCUGUGCAAGCAGAGAAGUAAUAAAACUGCUUCCUGCUUCUGUCCACGCUGCAGGUUAAAUUACAGUCAGAAUAACCAGUGCUUGAUGUUUGGUAAUUAAGUCAAACUGUAACUGAAUUUGAAGGAGUUACUACUGGGGAAAUACAGGACAUAGGAGCAAUUCAAGUAGAGGUUGCACUUCUAAAACAGGUAAAGAAAAAGUGUGCAUAAACCUCACCUUUAAAAAAAAGUAUUAAAAUCUAUGACUUCACAUUCCAUGUGAAUGAAGGGGCAGGUUAUAAAUUCUAAAGAUAGACAGGUGUUGGGUCUGGCAUUCCAGUAUGAUAGUUGCAAAACUGUUGCCAACCCAUGCUACAAAAACUCAAGAAAUCUUUUAACAUUCUAAUUUUUUUUAUCACCCUUUUAGUUUAUUAGGGAUGUUAACCUUUUAAGCCAGCCUCCUUUUAUUAAAAUUUAAAAAACAAAUAUAGGCAGUUUGUUAUAGUGAUAUUAGGACUAUUAAAAUGCACUGUCCUUUUUUAGGUUCACAAAUGACACACACAAAAAAAUCGGUUUAACGAACAGGUGCAUGUUCCUCAUUAAAAAAAAUUAAUACAGAAAAGUAUGAAAAAAGUAUUUACUCCAUGAAAUGUAGAUUCUUAGUAUUUUGAGUGCACAUUAGACACUAAUACCUGCAAUUGUACCUGCAGCAGUGUAACAACAUCUUAAGAUCUUACAUAAGGUUUUCUCAAUACUCAGAUAUCCUGCUUGAGUGUGAGAUGUGCAAUGCCCUGCAAUCGUCAUGUACUGUAAGCAGAUACCAAGAGCAGAGAAUCAGAAGCUGGCAAAUGGUUACUUCGUUUAUGCUGUCGGGCUGGAAACAGCAACCAGAGAAUGGCACUUCAGCCUUUUUUGGAUCUCCUUCAGCACUGUACAGCUGUUAUGUCAGCCGGCGGGAAUUUUCAGCUACACAGGGGAGGGGAUGGAAAUACAGGUCAGUGCAGAAUCCAUAUAUAUAUAUAAGCGUGCAUGUGUGGAAAGCAAAGAACUUGCACGAGAAUUGAGACUUGCUUCACACAAAACACAAUCAUGAAAAAAUACUGCUUACUCCAUUACUACGGAGCUAGAAAGUUUGGACUGCCAUUCUGUCCUGGAGAGUCUUUUACUUCUAAUCCUUAAAAAAAAGAAGAAGAAAAAGAUUACAGUUGUCAUGAGCAUUCUGCAGCUGUUAUCUUGGUGAAUGAGAAAUAGCUCUCACAAGGAAUAGAUCAAAAUCAUCCUAGUAUAACUCCACUCACAUCAGCAGUAUUCCUACAGAGUUCAAUCUGGCUCAUAAAGGUUUUUUCUAAUGACGGAUCCCAUUUUCUUCAUGAUGUUCUAGGAACAGCCAUGAUAGUUCCACAGUGGUUUCAUAACACUAAUAUUAUAUAAUCUUACUUUCCACAAUCCCCCCCCCCGAAUCUAUAGGUCAUGAAUUAUUUUAUUUUAUUGACAUAAUAAAAUCAGAGAGUUGCAAUAAGCACAACAAAACUGGCUAAACCACAGAUUCAACAUAAAGUUCUCCAGUAAAACAAGUUGCCUCUUGAGUCCUUUGUUUAAAGGUUAGGCAAAGUUUAGUCAGUGUAUAGAAUGUCCUGCCUCAAAAAAGAGCUUGGUGAUCAACUAUGUCUCUGCCAAUUCUAUUGUUCUGUGCACCCCAGUCUCAAGAGACCCCAGGGAUUCCCAUACUUAUCCAGGAUUCAGAUUCCUUGCUAUGAAGGUCAGUGGAGACUGUGAUAUGUUUAUUAUAUAUGUUUCUAUAUACGCAGAUAUGCCACCUGAUCACAGGAUAGAGGGGCUCAAGGCAUUAGCACCCCAAUGGAUCUUGCUUCCCCAUUAGGGUUCCAGGAGAGCCCCCAAAAACAGAUGCUGGUCUUACAUGGGGCAGAGAUGUCUGUUUCUCCAGCUUCCAUCAUCACCCAAAACUCACAGACUCUUGGCUUAUUGUUCCCCAUCCUAGCUAAGUGAGGUGGGAAAAGGCCCAUCCAGUUGUCUCUAUGGCAUGCAUCUGAAACUGGUUCUCACUCUGUGGCCCUUAGCUUUAUUCUGAACAAAUUGGUUUAUGUGUGUUUCUUCAGGAAUUCCAUGUGCUUUUGGUACAUCUCUGACUCUUCAAAUUCUCCCUGUGAAUGUGGCUUAAGUAACAGUCAGAAAGUUAACUUUCUCUUGAGCCUGGCAUGCUGCCGACAUGAAUUAUGUGCACUCUCUUUAUAAGUCACACGAGUGUAGCAUACUACCAUUGUGGAAGCAUUUCCACGUGCAUACAUUUUAUACAGUUUCCACAGAGCUGUAGAACUGGACGCUCUUAAUUCUGGACCCAAUGCUGUGAUGAAAAAGAUGACAGUUUCUCCAACAACACUCACUGUACUUCUGGAAUUUUCAGCUGAAGCACAUAGGAUGCAUUGUUGACCGUAUGGAACAAUCUGCCUUUGUGUCGUUCAGUGGUGGGUUGCAGGGAUAUUCCAACCACAGAAAAAAAGAUACUAUCAGAAAUAUGGUAAUGCUAUGCUAUGCCUUUCAUCUCAAAAUAGAAUCUCAUACAUCUCAUGCAUAUCACACAAAAGAAAAUAAAAGUGACAUUUCAUGUCAAUCUAGGGGAGGGGGGGAGAAAUUCAAAGCACACCUUCAUAAACUUAUUUGAAUAAUGGGCAGCUAAUUUUUAAAUAAAGGGCAGCUGAAUUCGCACCCCAGUUAAGUCAAAAUAGUACAGCCAGUUAACCAGAUGCACCACUGGCAGAAAAGGAGAAAGGAUGAACAAGGCAGAAGCAGCGGCGGUGCUGAUUGUCGGGUGGAUUCAAGGCUAAAUAAGAGAAACAGCCAUACACAUGAAAAUAUGCAAUAUAUCCACUAUAGAGACCAUUAUUUUACCCAAAGCAUUUGUUUUAGCAAAAUCACACAAAGUAAUCUGUACUAGGGGUGGGGAACCUGCAGCCAGGGAUUCGUUUCGACACCUGAGGCCCUUCCCCUCAAACCAUGCUGUCCUGCCCCAGAAGUGAUGCCAUUUGUAACUAUGGGUGUGGGGCAAGUAGAGACGCACAAUUACUUCUGAGAAAGCAUGCAUAGGAUUGUGCUACAUGUAGCUUUAACAGUGACCAGCGGCCUGCUGAUCCCAGGUUCUCCCUUCCAGCAACCAGGCCCUUAAAAGACAACAGUUGGAUCCCCGCACCCAUUGCUUCCAUCUUGCUGAUUCUACUACACUUCAAAUGAAUCAACCAAAAAUGCUGGGGAGGUGAGCACGGCUGUCAAUGGGUCUUCAGAAAUGUAGUAAUGUAUGGUUGCCAUACAUCCAGAUUUUCCCGGACGUAUUCGGAAUACAGUACUGAAGUCGGCAGCAGUGUCCGGGUGGAAAUUGGAUGUAUGGCGGAACUAAAAAUAGCUCAACAACUUUGCCCCAGCCCCCCCAAAAAAGCUUCAGCCUUAAAGUUACGUCUAGACACUUGGUGUUCCAGUAUUCGUUUUUACUGCAGGACAUUGUAAUAAUUUAGCUGCCACACUACCUAAAUUUAGAUCCUUAAAUCUUACUGCUCUGGGACUCAGACCAAAAAGCCCCACAGUACAUUGUGCAAGAGAUAAGAAGAGAACUUUGUUGCUUCCCUUGGCCUGUUCUAUCUGUGUGGUGCAGUGAAUUGGGUACAACCAGUUAUUCCAUGCAGGGAGUUGAGGAGCAACUGGCAGAGUUAGAGGUCUGGAACAGAGGUUCAUAAGACCGUGGCAUUACAUCAUGCUCUGGUUCCCAAUUGGUGGUCCACAGGCCCCCAGGGGGUCUACAUAACCCACCCGUGUGGUCCAUGGCACCAUUCACAUAACAAUAAACUACCACAGAGAUAUCAAAAUUGUGGGGGGCCAUGGUUUGGCUUUUGAAAAACGGAGUCUGCAGUUCUUGGCUAAUUGGGAAUCGCUGCUCUAGAGGUUGCCAGGGUGGACAUUUGCCAAUAGGGUGAUCUAUUACCCAAAAAAAGGAGGAGGAAAUGCAUCAUAAUGCCAAUUUAUGUGUAUACAUGAAAAUUUAGAAAUAUGUUUUACUAAUUGUUUAGGUUCAUUUAUUACAGCGCUCUUAAUUUAGAAAGCCCCAGAGUAGUCAAUUACUAUGGUAUAGUGGAGCAAGCUGUUCUGAGGUAACUGCUGUUCGGGUGCUAAUUGCUGAUGAGUCGCUGUAAGGGUCCUGCCCUCCUUGCUUAUGGUUCUUCACCUUUAAACUGGGCUUUGAAAAUGCAUCUCUUCAAGAAGGAGGCAACUCCAAACAGAGCAGAUGCAGGGAACCUUAGGCCCAGUGGUUGAAUGAAGCCCUCCAGACUUUUCUAGCUGGCCCUCAAAACUCUCCUCAGGCCACACACCUCAUCUCCUCUGAGCACACCCCUCACUCGCCCUGCUUUGAGCCCCAAGUGUCUUGGUCUGACUGGAAUGUGCCCCUGGACUCUGAAAACACCUUUUGCUUAUCUGAAGGAAGGACAUAGAGGUUUGUGUGUAGAAACUAGCCUACAGUAGAAAAGAAAAAUGUACCUUUGCCUCUGGCCCCAACCAACACUGGCACAUGUAACUCUCAGAAGGUUUCCCAAAAGGGAACAUGGCACUUGGGAUACAAAAGGUGUCCCAUCCCUGAAACAGGAGGACCGUCCUGCGUAAAGGAGGACACAUGGCCACCCUAUUUAUCAACGCCCCAUCAUUCGAGAAGUGAUACUAUUUUGCAAAGCAUAACAAAGGAGAUCAGAUGCAGCCUCAGGGAAUUAUCAGUUCACAUGGCUUUAUUUUUCCAGGUUAGGGGGCUCGACUGAGGCUGCCACAACAUGAGAGCCCUCAAAUCCUAGAGCCAGUGUUGCCUGCCAUACACACCAAUAAAUGAUCUACAAUUACAAGAAAGCUAAACAGUGUGCUGUUACGAGUUACAGUCCACUUUCCAAGUACGGCAUGCUAAUUCCAGACAGAGUUAGUAACUAUCUUAUACAGAGAGAGAGGGUGUUUCUUUCUUUCUUUUUCUUUUUCCAAAUGCAAAGGGCACCACAUGGCUCCUCUCCUGAAAGUCCAUGCCAGGAAAGUCAUCCAUCAGGAUAUUCUGAAUUCAACAACUUCUGUUACACUUUACCCCAUUGACCUGAUAACUGUGCCAAAUAAGGUGAAAGGGCAGCAGGCCAGGGGUGAGGAAGAGGCAAGGAACUUUUGGUAGUUCGUGCUGAUGGCAACAAUCCAAGCACAUGCUACUAUCUGCUAUGCUACUAUCUACUGUGCUUGUGAAAGCUGCAAGAGUACAGCAAAAAGAUUUUUGCAAAGAGUUUUGCAGAAUGCUCACAUUACAGGGAGGACAGAAGGAAUUAACCACCUCACCUUUUGUUGCAGACUGGCUCAGCCUCCUGUUAGCUGUUAGAAGACAACACAAGGAGGGGGGCACAAUUUGACUAAAACCAGAGGGAGCCAUAACCCCGACACUUCCUCUAGAACCCAAGCCCAAUUUUUGGCAUUUACUUCACUAAAUUCAGUGUGCAUUUUAUCUCAUCUCUGGAAAUCUGAAGCAAUAUUAGAAGGAAACUUAGCUACCACCAGGCAGGAGAAAGUGAAAGAUCGUAAGCUAUUUCAAAAUAGUUUGCAACCUCUGUGAGUUCCUUGCCUUAGACAGGGGCCCACGUCUCCAGUCUCCCACUUCCUCCUUUUCAGUCAAAUGCCCUUUGCCUUUCUUUCCCUUCAUUAUGACCCUUCCCAUCAUAAAAUUAGUCAGUUGCAAAGUCAGACUUGUAGCAUAAUGCUGCAGUGUGGAGUGUUCCUGAUCAGGAUGCUGCCUUCCAUAUUCCUUCCCGCCCAGUUUUCUGCCCAUCUUCUCCUAUCCCCCGCCCCGCAAUAAUCAGUCAGCAUCCCAUGGCCGCUGUGCGUACUCAGAUUUCAUCAUGGCAUUUUGGGGUACCCCAGUUUAGGAAUUUCAACCUAAAGAUUAUACUUCUGCAAUUUUUUGGGUUCUCCUAGCUUGCUGAUAUCUAUUGCAUGAACGCUGCUACAUACCGUAAGUACCAAUAUUUGGAGAAGUGAGAUCACUAUUAAUAUAUAUGAUUUACAGAAUUGUUAUCCUGCUCUUCAAAUAAAUUCCCAGGGCAGAUUAUGAAGAUAUCAUAGAAACAUAAAAAGACUCCAGAAGUGGUAAAAGACUGUUUUCCAUCCAACUGUUGCUGAGCAACAGCAUGUGCUCCCUUUCUUGUAGAAUUAGCAAAACGGCAGAUGAAGGAAUACAGACACAACUGAAGCCGGACUGGAGGGGUGGAAGACAGCGAACUCCAUGCAAAAUGCCCUGAAUUGGCAGGCUGUGGAAUAUUUGUGUAAAAUGAACGUUUUCCCUCCAUGGGCACUUCCAGACUGUCACUAUUUUUGAGUCAGAUCCAAUCGCAUACCAGAAAAUUCAGGUUGCACAAUUAAUGCUGAUUUGCAGCUCUUGCGCAACAAAUCCCAAAAGAUUAGGCUUUUUUGCCACAAGGAAAGUGAUGAGGAAAUCAGAAGUGUGGAAGAACCUUUGCUUUGAUACAUCGUGGAGCCAACACCAUCUAAUCUCCAUGCAAACAAAUUAGGAUGAAUGCUCAAUAAGCAGGUCAUCUGGAAGUGUCCUAUAUUGCCACAAAGACCUUUAUGGGGUGGCUUUUUAAUUUUAAUAUGCAGAUUCUAAUUUUUAUAGGCAGAAAUAAGAAGCAGCAUCAAAAGCAAGCAGCAAUAUAGAUCUAUGGAGACUGGAGCUGGACGAUAAUUUUUUUGGAAGUUGAAAGUGGUCUGAGAGAACGGUCACUUUCCAUAGAGUGCAUGCACAUCAUGAAGAAGAAGAAGAAGAGUUUGGAUUUGAUAUCCCACUUUAUCACUACCCUAAAGAGUCUCAAAGCGGCUAACAAUCUCCUUUGCCUUCCUCCCCCACAACAAACACUCUGUGAGGUGAGUGGGGCUGAGAGACUUAAAAGAAGUGUGACUGGCCUAAGGUCACCCAGCAGCUGCAUAUAGAGGAGCGGAGACACGAACCCGGUUCACCAGAUUACGAGUCUACCGCUCUUGACCACUAUACCACAUAGGUGUACACUACACUGAGGAUGGGCUAUAGCUCAGUGGUUGAGUACAUGGUUUUCAUGCAGAAGCUCCCAGGUUCAGUCCUUGGCAUCUCCAUCAGAUGAUAGGAAGGAUCUCUGUCUGAGACCCCAGAGAGCCACCACCACUUAGAGUGGACAAUAAUGGGCUAGAUGGACAAAUCAUAGAAUCGUAAAGUUGGAAGGGUCCGGAGGAUCAUCUAGUCCAGGCAUGGCCAAACUUGGUCCUCCAGAUGUUUUGGGACUACAACUCCCAUCAUCCCUAGCUAACAGUGGUCAGGGAUGAUGGGAAUUGUAGUACCAAAACAUCUGGAGGGCCAAGUUUGACCAUGCCUGAUCCUAGUCCAACCCCCUGCAAUGCAGGAAUCUCAGCCAUCCGAUCUCUGCUUACAAACCUCCAAGGAAGGAGAGCCCACAACCUCCCGAGGGAGACUGUUCCAACAGCUCUUAUCAAAAAUCAACAAUAUGAGGCAGCUUCAUGUGUUGUUUUGGCCCACGUUGGGAGGUUUUUGGAAAAAUAAGAAGCAUGCGACAUCUGUUUGCUAGAGGCACAAGUGGGCAAAAUGUUUGCAUCCUUCCUCCUUCAAGUUCCCUUCUAUCUGGAAAACUAUCACUUAUGUUCCACUGCUCUGUUUGAAUCAGUGGCUCACCAGAAUAGAGAUAUAUUACUAGAACUAGAAUUUGCCUAGUCAUUUGCCAAAGGAUCAAGUAACACCAGCAUAACUGUCAUCAUACAUAUAUAUAUAUUCACAGCAGCAUCACUCAACGCUGAACUUAAAUGGUCCAGGUUGCUAGCAAAACAAAACUAGUAACUCAAUCUGGCAUCCCAUGGAGUCAAGGGAGUGUUUGGCACUGAUUGUGGCAUGGCAAGUUGAAAUCUUCAGUUAUGGGAGAGGGCUGUGUGUGGCUCAGUGGUAGAGCAUCUGCUUUGGAGGCCAAAGUCUAAGUUUCAAUCUUUGGCAUGUUCAGGUGGGGCUGGGAGAGAUCCCUGCCUGAAAUCCUGCAGUCAGUGAAACAAUACUGAGCUAGAUCUACCAAUGGACUGACUCAGUUUAAGGCAGCUUCUAUGAAAUUCUGCUGAAAUAAUGCAAAGUAGAAGCUUGAUCUUAACACUGGGUAGUUUGAAGCAAUGGAUGCCUUCCAGAUCCUUAGGCACACCUUCAAAGAGCCAUACAGUGGAGCCAGCUCAAUCGCAAAACACUUGACACUGUUUUUAUAACUGUUGAAGUUAAUGGAAGAGCAUAGCCCACUUUUCACAUCUAAUUAAACUAUUCUGGGAGAGACUGCAAGUUUCCAUGAUAUCUGUUUGCUAAAAUUACAUGCAGAUGGUGCCGUGCACUUGUAUAAACUUGUGCCUAGGGACAAUUUGUAAGCCUUUAAGAUCACAGAGUCAGUUUUUGAUAUAAAACCAUCAUUAGAAACACAAUAAGCUAUCGUUUCUUUUACACUUCAGUGGAAUAAACUGUUGGCAAAAGGAAGUAAACAUGCCCUGGAAAAGCUGUCAGUGUAUAUAACUAGAAAGAUUCUCUACUUUCCCCUCUCUGGCCCCUGCCCCACCUCUCUCCAAAGAUGUUAUUAGAAACAUCACCAAGUUUUAUUUAUUACUGAGGUUUAUAUAUAAUAUUGAUGCCUAACAAGGGAGGCUUAUAAAGUGUGGUGUAAUUCAUAAAACUAUUUACAAGCUGUUUGUUUUCAUAUGACCUUCGAUAAAUAUAGUUAUGUUUAAAGGUGUUUUUUAAAAAACACACACACCGAAUUACUGCAGAGUGUUUGAUAUGAAAACACAAGCUUGAAAUAUGCUUUUGCUCUGCCAUGAAUGGAUGUUUGAAUGAAACAGUGUAGAGCUUAUUACUAUUGUAUAGCGAACAUCUCUAAAUAUGUCUCUUUAUGGCAGCCUAAGUAUGGCGCUUUGGAAAGCAAAUGCUACUCCCAAGAAUUUAGGCCUGUUGGUGUCCAAACGUUCCUAGACUCCAGCUCCCAUCAUUCCAGGCCAUUGGCCAUGCUGACUGGGGCCAAGGGAAAUUUGAGUCCAACAACAUCUGGAAGUCCACAAAUUCUCCAACUCUGAUUUAGGCACAUAUCUCUUGAAGUUGGCAUGGUGGCUAAAUGGUUCUCCUAUGAGUUCCAGUCCACUUUAAACCCAUUAUUAGCACUUCAUUGUUGUGACACUUAUUAUAGGUCUCAGAAAUGAUGUGAAAAGUUAGAUUUCCUUAGAGUUUAUGUUGGUUGUAUACUACUGGUCUGAGAGUAAAUUCUUCUACCCAUCUUCAAAUGCAUCAACAACUCUGCCAGGCUUGCAACAUGGACAAGAAUAUGCCUUGGCAACAUUUGAGACAGUGAUUUGGAUGGCUGUAAUUCUCUAUGUGGUGAUACUUCCGCUAAAAUGAUAGCAGUGAGUCAUUUCCUUCAUUUCCCUCCCCUACUGUGUUUUUAAAACAGGCAGCAUAAGCCUGAAAUAUUUUUAUGACACUUGACAUGGCACUCAAGCAUCCUCCCUGCUCACUGGCAUCCCAGGUCCUAAAUACUUGAUUUUAGUGGAGAUACCUUCCAAGCCAAUGUGCUGAAGAUUGUAGCUACAGCCUGAGGUAAAUUUUAUUGAAUUCUCUUAUAAUGGCAAUAGGAUUAGGAACAUGGAUCAGGAGAUUUGUCAGAUUUGUUUUCUCUUAAUUUCUCAUUUCCCAAUCUUAUCUUCAGUUUAUUACAUUUACAUAUCAAUUUGCUUAAAAAAAAAGAAGUCUGCAUCAAAAUUCAUCAGCAAAUUUAUCAUAAUACACACAUAUUUGCAUGAAAAAUUUGCCUAAUAUACACAUUUUUGCAAAGUGAUUUUGCCUAAUACAAAAUCCAGAGAAACGUGAAUUUUGAAAGAUGAUUAUGUUUCAUUUUGCAUACUGUUUCAAGAAGUGUGAACUAGGUAGGGAAACUGAGUUCCUCCUCAUCUCUAACUAGGGUGGGUAGCGGGAGCCAACAUUCCUGCAAGAUCAGGGGCUUCUGUCUCACUUCUUUCAUUUCAGAAUGAGCUGUAGGUAAAUAAUUGCUGGGUUAUGCCUGCUGAACAGAGUUCAUAGCUUCAUAUGAAUGCAAUGACAGCUGCAUAACCCAAUUUAGCCAGCAAGGGUGCAUGACUGAAAGACAUUAAAAGCAUUUACUUGCUUAAACAGAGGAUGUUGCCACAGGAUUAUAACCUGGAAAUGGCAGUCUCCGAAUCUUGUUUGUGCAAGGAGGUCUUUGGAACAAAAAAACACAGAGUUAACUAAAUGAGUCUGUGGUGGCCUCAUGAACCCAAGUUUCCUAUAUUCUGUAUUCUGUUCACUGGCUUUGGUUUAGAAACAACCACCAUCUCAUAAUCCAGUCCUGUCUCAGAUUUCACUAGCUGAGGUGUUUGUUUUGUUUUAACUUACUGAUUCAGAACUAAUUUGGUGGGACUGUAUCAUUCAGCUUCUAGUGCGAAAGGUCACGGUGGUAAAUAUAUCUGAGAUCAAGCAUAUAUACCGAGAAGAGACACUGAACAUAUUUCCCUACAUGUAAAAAGAGAGCAAGCCCAAGAGGGAAACAUGUUUUGCAGAAUGAGUUGAUCAAUUAUAAACAAGAUUUAAACGUUAAUAUCUGGGUCAGAAGCAUGGUAAAGGUGUGAAUCAGGAACAGCCCAGUUCAGAAGACAGUUUUACCAAGUUACUUGAAUUUAGUUCCACUGAAGUCAGUCGCAUUAAGCUGGGGCCUACCUUGACACACCACAGAUUGAACCCUCAGAGGGUGACCCUGGCUCGAUGCCGUGUCCUCGCCUCUGCUGCCCUUGAAGGGCGCUAUAGAAAAAUCUCAUAUUUGGAGAGAUGCUGUCCCUGUGGCUCUGGCCAAAUUGAAACUGUAGAACACAUGCUCCCCACCCCCACCCCCACUGUUUGUUUUAUAGAGAUUUAAGUUCUGCCCUUAUUCUACCAAUACUCCAGAAAUAUACUGGAAGUUCUGAACAGUUCCUUGCCACUCUGUUGCUCCUAGAUAAUAAUCCUGGUAUAACAUACAAGGUGGUCAAUUUUUGUUCAGCAGCAAUUAAAAUAUGACAUACAGUGGUACCUUGGGUCCGUUCUUAACCUGAAACUGUUCUCAACCUGAAGCACCACUUUAGCUAAUGGGGCCUCCUGCUGCCGCCGCACCACUGGAGCACGAUUUCUGUUCUCAUCCUGAAGCAAAGUUCUUAAACUGAGGUACUAUUUCUGAGUUAGCGGAGUCUGUAACCUGAAGCGUAUGUAACCCGCGUUACCACUGUACAGUGACUGGCACUCAGGAUUAGUAUAACAUGGACAUUCCUAUUUCAGAACGGUUUUCUUUCUGACAGAUAAAUGACCACCUAGAACUGCUUUUCUAUGGACAUGUGAUUUUACAUGAUUUUAUUUUGCUCUGAGCUUUUAAAUUUUGUGAUUGGUGUUUUCGUCUUGAUAUUGGCCAUUGACCGUAAUAAAACAACUUGACUUGACCUGCAGGGAUUGAAGCUUUGGCACGAAAGCAAACGCUUGACCACUGAGCUAGAGCCCUUGCCCAUUGUAUCACUGCCUCUGGGAAGUCUACAAAUAGGGCAUUAAAGCAAUAACCCUCUUCUAUUAUCAGAACCGUUUCAACCUCUUAUCGAAUAAAUGUAUGUUAUAUUGACCACAUUUUUAAUUUAAAAGAAAUAGGGUUCCGAUAAAAAGGAUCAGCAGGAAGCCCAUUUGAAAUGGCACCUGUGCUUUCCACAGCAAGCUGUUUGUGUGAAUGGGUCACCAAGCAUAUUGGUACCCAAUGAAUUUUUCUCUAUGCUGUGAAAUAGAGACUCCUUGUUUGUGACACUGAAGUAGAUCUAGAAUUUGAAACAGGAAAACAGAUCCAAGAGCAAGGAGGCACAACCCAUAAAAUGUAUGUCCCUUUUGGAAUUUAGUUAGAUGUCUUGUCCCAAAUCAGACCAUUGGUCCACCGAGUUCAACACAGUUCUGGCAGCAGGUCUCCAGGAUUCCAGAGAGGUAUCUUCUCCAACCUUAUGGAGGUGACCAAGAUUUAAACUGUGUCUGUGUCUAUCCACUGGGCUAUGGCCCUUGCCGGUUGCUUUGGCUAUUUCCCAUGUCAAGGCGGGAGUUGGGAGCAAGUCAGCAAUAACUGACAAGGUGUCUGUGAAGUUAACUCUUUGUUCAAAGAAACAAAACAACUCAGAAACAAAACAACUAGUGAUCCCCUCAAUGCUUCCCAGUAGGUCUUUGCCCCAAUGAGGCAGUUGUGAGGACUGAAGGUCCCCGCCUUCCACUUCUCUCUAAGGCUCCUUAUCCCGAAGGUCCUUCCCCAGCAACCAGAGGCUCCUUCACCUUGUCUCUCUUUGUUCCACCCUCUUCAUUCCUCUUGUUCUGGGAGACCCUGGGGAGAGCUGGUUUCCAGAGGAGGGAGAGACUCCCUGCUUCUACAGCAGCCUGCCUCAACUCUGCAUCUUAGCCCCCCUCCUCACAAGCCUCCUCUUCUGUUUCUGAUUCUGGACUGCUCUCUGCCAUAGCCUCUUCCUGCUCACUAAACACUGUUACCUUUUCAACUUCCAGUGACUCCUUCUCCCAUUCUUCUUCUUCCUCUGACCACUCAGCAUCAUCCCACCACCAGUUCCCUGGCUCUGAACCUUGUUCCCUAGCUGGUGCCUCCUGCCACUCCUCUGCAUUCAGCCAGUUCAUGACACCCUUCCAUCUUAUCACACUUGGACCCAUUUUGAGCAAUAGCAUUGUUUGUCACAAAUCUGCUCUGCCGUCUCUCCUUAAUGGAUGCUUCCACAGUGGCCUCCUUUGUAAUCCAGGCCAUGCCAGUGCCCAAACUAUAGGCCUGAGCUCACAACAUUUUUCAAGAAGCUGUGAACGGAAUUCCAGUACUUCCAGAUCAUCGUUCUUUCAGUCCCAAUUUAUGUAAUGGAAUUACAUAGCCCUUGCUAAUUCAGAUGAAGUUCAUUCAGCAGGCCAUAUUAUGUAUGGCGUAAUGUAACUGUGAUUAUGCCCAGAAACACACUGCAAUUUUGUAAUGGGCAGUUAUUGGCAGAACAAAUCUAUUAGCAGUCUUUUCCACAGCUGCAAACAGGCCUUUGUGUGUUUUUUUUGUGUUGUUUUUUUUUUGCUAGUAAUCAAAAUGCAGAAUUCAUUUCUAUUUUGAUUUUUAUAUCUCUCUCUCUUUCUCAAAGGCUGAAAUACUCAGCCUUCUAGGAAUUAAGAUUAGGAGAAAGCUACCUUCUCAGUUCUUUAACUCGUGCUUCUCUAUAGAUAUAUAGCCAUAUGGCAUAGAUUCAUUUGGCUCAUAACAGAACAGCUGCCUAAGUGCCAAAAAGAUCAUGAUUUCUUAAGUAAAAAUGGCACUCAUAAAUGUUUGUGGAGGACUGGAAUGCUACAGUUGAUGCCUGAUAUUCGCCGCUACACUGUUAUCUAAGAACUCUAACAUUUGGGAAUUCGAAAGGGUCUGACGCAGUAUGUGCUACAAAGCUAUACACAGAUCCCCUUUGUGCUAAGGCUUUGCCAUUUGUUUUUCAUCUCUGUAAUGGUAUCCACAGGAUCAAUAGCAAAAACUAAGAGAUGUUCAUCUCAGAAAUUAUCAUGUGUCCUUUUGAUGCAAAGACGACUGUAAGAUGCCAUCUUAGCCUAUCAAAUAUUAAGUCUGAGCUAGGACCAGAGUCUUCCAUUUCAAGCAUUACUUUUUGACCAGUAAUGGCUUGGGCUGCCGUUUGGCUGGUUUUAAACCAACUUACCCAUAUUUAUUGCUGGGUUUAUCAUCUUCCCAUUUAUUUCUGCCCUGCUCGACUUCAGAACUGAUCAGUAAGACAGAACAACUGUGUUAGUACUGACUAGGGCUUAAGCUUAGACAACUUUUAAGCUUAAAACAAGACCAGGGAGGGUAGAAUAUUUCAUCUCAAAAGCUACCUUAGCACAAGAAGAUCUCCUGCAGUUUCAUCCUUCUUUGAUACUUGCUAUGGGAGGCUUAACUUAAUAUGCACCUUCAGAUGAUCUGAGAGUAGAUUUGAGUAGCUUAAUUGCAUACACCUUCUGCCGGGCUAAUUAAUGGAAGUUACCAACAUCCCCUCCUUUCCAUUGUAAAAUGGUCACUUGAUGAAAAGAUUGGCCAGCGUGUUCUUGACAAAUGCGAAGUGACAUUUUGCCAAUGUCUUUUGUAGACCCGUAUAAAAGAAUCAGUUCUUCAAAAAAAAAAAAAAACUCCUCCCCACCGGGGCGAAGCGAAAAAGACAAUACUCAUCCUUAAAGCGGGGUUGAGCUAAAUAAGUGGUUCACACAUCUUGAUCACAAGAGAUGAAAGAGGAUGACUCUCAGCUCAUUGUAUAUUUGAUCACAGACAAGGAAUCUUCCAGAUCAAAGGGGAGCAUAAUAAUGGAGCCUAACGAAGGGAACUUGAUCCAAACACAACUUUAAAGGGUUAGACAUCGACAGAUGGAAAUCUUCCACAUUAAAGUAUACUUACAAGAAUAAAAGGUCUUGGUACAUAUUAUGUCCCUUAACACACAGUUGAGAGAGAGAAAAUAGAUCAUCAGCCAAUAGAAAAUCCUGGAAUUCAUCAAAUGCUUUAGGAUGAAUGGACUUAAAUGCAGGAAGACCACUCUGGCCUUUUCUACAAGCAGACAAUACCUUGGAAAGGGGCAAGACUAUAAACGUGGUGGUGACCUGAAUAAAAGCUCCAGUAAUUUCCACAUAUCAGCAGGAUAGGAAAUGAGUCUGAUGGUCUUAAUCCAAUUCCCAGUGUACUGGACUCCACAGCAUCAAACUUAUCCACUACAAUUAGCACUAAUUGGCAACUUUUUGGCAGUCUCUUGAGAAAGGCCGAGGCCUGAGUGAGUCAGGAGACCCAGUCCUUCCUUCAUUUAUGCUAAGACAUCAUCUCUUUGCAUGGGAGUGAGACAGAUUGUGGGGCAACUCUGUGGAAGGUUUACACUGCUCCAUUCUAACUGAUUCUUUUGUCUUGGGUGAGAAAGGUGUUUUAGGGGUGUCAUGGUGACACCUUGCAUAACUUGGAGGUAACACUUUAGACAAAUGUUAAGAGAACGCAUGAAGGAGAUGCAAUUGCUUUAAACACGAAACAAACAAAAAAAUCGACAAAACCGAAUCAACCCCACUUUUUUUAAUUCAGUGUAUUGUCCAGAGCAGCACACACUGAAUUUUUAAAAAGUUUGCACAGAAAAAAACCAUAUAUUUCCUCAGGCCUACUUUAAAAAAACACACAAAAACUUUCUCCAGAAUGAAAGCGUUUCCAUCAUUUUCUCCUCCAAAAAAGCAGCUAAUGGGAUGAUAGUUAAUGCAAGAGAUCAUUUCUUCCAAUAAUGCUAUACAGUAAGCCCACAACUUACAUUAAUUUAAUUUGUGCAGGUUCAGCUUUACACACUUGGCAAUUAAAUAUAUAUAUAUAUUUCUAAAGGGUUGGAAAGGGGCUGGGCAUCCAGGGAAAAAGACUCUGGCAAUCCUAUCCACCAUUGCACCCAAUGUGUUUUGACUACGGUAUAUGCGAUUUGGCUUUAUGUAAAAAGAAUGUAACCUGCAGAAGGUGAGGGCUUGCUGUGCAGAGGUACCUCGGGUUACAUACGCUUCAGAUUACAUACGCUUCAGGUUACAGACUCCGCUAACCCAGAAAUAUUACCUCGGGUUAAGAACUUUGCUUCAGGAUGAGAACAGAAAUCGUGCUCUGGCGGUGCGGCGGCAGAGGGAAGCCCCAUUAGCUAAAGUGGUGCUUCAGGUUAAGAACAAUUUCAGGUUAAGAACGGACCUCCAGAACAAAUUAAGUACUUAACCUGAGGCACCACUGUAUUGCCAAAUGACAGCCAUAAUAACACACUGAUAAAGAUGGGCUUCACAUCAACUGUCACCUUUACAGUUUGUGUAAAUGGCCGUAGGAAGCAAGCCAUGUGCAUGUUUCUUCUAUACAUGGGGCUAACACCCAUGGAUGAUGGAGUCAGGAGGGUGGAGUCCCCACUCGUGAUAUUGUGUGCUUUUCCAACCCUGCCCUUAAUAGCCACACAUAAAGCAUAUAUAUUUUGCACAACAGAAUAGAUGCUCAGUUACAAAAUGCAUGUCGGUUGCAUCAAUACUGAGAGCACCUCCCUCAUUUAAGUCAGCAUCAAUCUAUCAAAGUAGCUUCUGGAGGGUUGACCAGUUCCAGAUCCACCCCUCCACUGUUCUAAAUGAAUUGAGUUUCAAGAUUUGAAACAUCUUCGGACAUAGUCUCUAACUUUCAUUGGAGUGCGGGGACAUGAAAGAGAUAUUUGAUAACAUUCCAGGGAAAUGGGAGGUUUGGCACAAUUAAAUCAAGCUCACACUAGAUAACACAUGUGAGCAGAUGGACUCGGAUGACAGCUUAUUGGAACAAAAUAAGUACACAGUAACUGCUAGUUCAUAAUAGCACUGCAGAUAAAAAAAUGUUUGCAAUAUUUCCCAUGCUUUCCCCCCACUUAAGUUGCAAAUUAAGAGUCUAGUCACAAUUUGUACCCUCUGAGGUAUUUUUAAUAGGCUGUAUGAUGAGACGGCUAAAUUACCGAAACAAAGUUGAAAUAACCAUCUCCCUUUGAGGAAGAAGGUUUUGCUUGCCAUUUAGGUCCACUUCAUUCUAAUGGUUGAAGCAAACUGGGGGGAUCUCCAACUAUGUCAUACUCAGAGUACAGACGCUUCAGGUUACAGACGCUUCAGGUUACAGAUUCCGCUAACCCAGAAAUAGUACCUCGGGUUAAGAACUUUGCUUCAGGCCCUUCCGGAGGCGGCGCCAUCGGCAAUGGCGGAUUCCCUCUAGUCUUGAGGGAGUAGCUCCGCGGAAAUCGGGUCUUGCCGCUACGGCAAAGCGGGGACCCCUUCGAAAACCACAGGCGGGUUAAGCCUGUGACCGUGGAACUCGGCGGGCACCCUUAGCGCCCCCCCAAUCUGCGAGGGAACCCUGUAAAGAGUUCCGGAGCGAAACGGGGAGUCUGGCGCGGUGCUGAGAGUCAACUGCUUCUUCCGUGGAGUGAAGCCGCGCAGCUGUUGCCGGAGAGCGCUGACCUUUUUCCUGUGACAAUUCGGCUAAUAAACAACUACCCGUGAGUAGGUUAAGUUUGAAGAUUGGGAAAUUUAAGGAAAAAAGGACUAAUUUGGCACUGAAGCGGGAAGGCGUAAACAGGAAGUCCGCCUUCCAUUUUCUGUAAAUAGAUCAAAGCGAAGACUGUCUAAGCUAAGACCCUGAAAAUCGUGUUGAAAAAGACUCAAAUCUUAACAUCAAUUAAAAGAGAACUCCCUCCCUGAGGUGCGGGAGAGGGGAGAGAGAAGGGGAAGUAUCUUUUGCCGGCAAAAAAAGAAGAGAGAAAGGGAACAAAGACCAUCACUUAAUGCCUGGGAACGGACUGUCAAGGGACAAUGGAACUGCCGUAUUGUGAAUCGCGCUGUUAAAGGAUAAUGCAACUUUUUGACAGCUAACCCUGUAAGAGAGAUACUUUGACUCUGAAGGGUCUCUCCGGACCUGAAAUUGUUGCUUUUCUUGGUUAAAGGGGGGAUUUCUGAAAGCUGGAAAAGUUACUUUAUUGUUACAAGUCUGGACUGCUACUGUGUCCCCCUAGAGGAACUUUGAAAUUGCUACAAUUGGCCAGGGAAUUUCCCACUCCAAACUGGCCAAGGGGAAUUUUCCACUACAAAACAAGUAACCGUGGGAUUGACCUUGAUCCUUAGAUAAAGUGUUAUGGCAGACUCGACUCAGGAAAAAACAACAAGAUCGGGUAAAAUUAGACUGCAGCAGCAUAGACCGUCAGCAUCCGGCCUCCCUGCCCCACCAGGGGAAGAUCCAGCUCAGGUGGCGCCUAAAGGAAUGGCAUCUGAAGGGGGUUUAGCUUCAGCACUAGAUAAAAUUUUUGAAUCUUUGGAAAAAUUAAGCAAACAAGUUGCUGAAGCGACAACUAAAAUUGAUCAAAACACGUCAAGCAUCAAUAACUUGGGGCAGAAGGUGAACUCAAAUACAGAAUCUAUUGAGAAACUGCUGCAGGAAUCUACUUUGAACCGAAAAACAGCUGAAGAAGCCAAGGAAAAAGCAUUGGCUGUAGAGGAAAAGAUACCACCGAUAUGUAGGCAGCUUGAGGACCACAAGUCAUUGCUGUCUAUGAUUGAAUUAAAUGAAAAACAGAUAAAUCUAAGGAUCAGGGCUGUACCUGAACUUGAGAAAGAUAGUUUGAUUGACUUCUUACGCAGGAAUUCGCAGACUUUUGGAACUUAGACUCAGACAAGUUAGAUUUUAGACUUGGAAGAGGGGGGAGAAAGAACAGGGUGAGAGACUGUUUGAUUACCCUCCGAUCAAGAGAGGAGAGAGACAGAAUAUUAAGUCUGCACUUCCAGAAGACCUUGGAAAUAAGUGAAUCAAGAGUGGAGAUAUUUAAGGACAUCCCUAAACAUCUUUUGGAUCUCAGGUCCAACUACGGAGAUCUAGUGGCCCUGUUAAGAGGAAACAGAACCAUUUUUAGGUGGGAAUUCCCCCAAGGCCUAUCUUUUACCUUUAAAGGGAAAAAGUUUAAAAUAAGAUCAGUGGAAGAUAAAGAAAAAUUUCUGAAAGAACACGGAGAAGACCUGCAAAAAGAAGCUGAAGAAGAGCCAAGAGCCUUAAAACCAGGAGUACAAGACAUAGUACCACUACCUUUGGGAUUGGACAAGUUAGAGAAGGUGAUACUACCGACAGAACAAGAACAAUUACUUGGCGCAGUUGGAGGAAAAGCAAAAUAAAUACACCAUGUCCCUGCAACUAUUAAGUUGGAAUAUUCAUGGAUUUAACUCCCCGGAGAAAAGGAAAAAAGUCUUUCAUUUAUUGAAAAAGGAACAACUGGACUUGAUUUGCUUGCACGAAACACAUGUGAUAAGGCUUCAUAGGAAAGUAUUGAUUAAUAAAAGAUCGGGUCAAGAGUUUAUUUCAUCGGACAAGGUUAAAAAGAGAGGAGUAGUAAUUUACGCGAAAGAGAGCCUAUCACCGAAAUUUAUUUUUAAAGAUGACCAAGGAAGAUAUGUGGCAAUUGAAAUCCAAACACAAGGAGAAAAUUUUUUGAUAGUAGGAGUAUAUGCACCAAAUGAGGGGAAAUCUGAAUUUUUUAAGAAGUUGCAUGAGACAUUGUUAGACUAUAUGGAUUACAACAUUAUCAUGAUGGGAGAUAUGAAUGGAGUGGUAUCUACAAACAUGGACAAGUCGCAGAGACAGGUAGUUACUAAAGAUGGCAGACUACCAAAAACCUUUUUUGAGAUGACUGACAAUAUGGACUUGAUUGACAUUUGGAGAAUAAAGAAUCCCUUGGGCAGAGAGGGAACCUUCUUCUCUGAAGCCAAAAUGACAUGGACAAGAAUUGACCAAAUCUGGAUAACUAGAGGACUGGCACCUAAGACUCGAAAAGUGGAAAUUUGCCCUAAAACUUGCUCCGACCAUAAUGCUGUGAAAAUGGAGAUGAAAUUAACACCUACCGGUUCCUUCAGAUGGAGGAUGAAUGACACCUUGUUUAGAGAUCAAGAAGUUACCAAGAAGGCCCAAAAAACCUUGAGAGACUAUUUUGAGAUAAAUAUGAACACUACCAUCGAAAAAAGAGUAAUCUGGGAUGCAAGCAAAGCAGUUAUGAGGGGGUUUCUAAUUCAACAGAAUGUAAUAAAGAAGAGAACUCAAAAUGAGAAAAAAGAUAAAAUUUUGGAAAAAAUAAAAGAGGGUGAGAAGAAACUGAGAGCGAAACCAAAGUCACAAGAGAUUCUGAGAGAAAUAAAGUUAUACCAAGUUCAAUAUAUGAAGAUGAUGAAUCAGGAAAUAGAAUGGAAAAUUAAACAGAUGAGACAAAGGACAUUUGAAUCGGCCAAUAAAUGUGGAAAACUGUUAGCUUGGCAAAUGAAAAAAAGACAAAAACUUAACACCAUUACCAACUUGGAAAUGGAAGGAAAGAACAUCCAGAAUCCAGUGGAAAUUAGAAAAUGCUUCCAGAGGUACUUUAAACAGUUAUAUACACAAGGGCCACAGAAAGAGUUUGAUUUAGAUCAAUUCUUAAAAACAAAUGGACUUCAAAAAAUCUCUCAAGAAAAUAAGUUAAUGUUGAACUACAAAAUAACAGAACACGAGGUGGAAGGUGCCAUCCAGAACAUGCAGUUGGGCAAAUCUCCAAAGCUAGAUGGCUUAACCUCAAAAUAUUAUAGAUCCUUGAAGGAUUGGAUAAUUCAACCACUAAAGGAGGUUUGUAAUGAAAUUUUGGAGGGGGAAAAAGCGCCAGAGUCGUGGAAGGAAGCUUAUAUUACACUAAUACUGAAAAAUGAGUCUGAAAAGACACAACUUAAGAACUACCGCCCCAUAUCCCUGCUUAAUGUGGAUUAUAAAAUUUUUGCAGAUAUUUUGGCUAAAAGGUUAAAAAAGUAUUAGUGGAGGAGAUACAUAAAGACCAAGCUGGCUUUCUCCCGGGUAGACACUUGUCUGACAACACGAGGAAUAUAAUCAACAUUUUGGAGAUAUUGCAAGUGAAUAUUAAUACUAAAGCUGUUUUAAUUUUUGUGGAUGCGGAGAAAGCCUUUGACAAUAUUUCUUGGAGUUUCAUGAAGAAAAAUUUUCAGGGGAUGGGGGUUGGCCAAGGGUUUGAAAAUGGUAUAAGUGCAAUUUAUUCAGAACAAAAGGCUAAACUAAUAGUUAAUAAUGUGGUGACAGAGGAAUUUAAGAUAGAGAAAGGGACACGACAAGGCUGCCCAAUUUCCCCAUUGCUUUUUAUUUCGGUCCUGGAGGUUUUGCUAAAUAUGAUCAGAAGGGACUGUCUGAUCAAAGGUAUACAGGUCGGAGCCAAACAGUACAAAUUGAAAGCUUUUGCAGAUGAUUUAGUAUUGACGUUACAGGAGCCAGAAUCUAGUACUAAAAGAGUAUUAGAAUUGAUUCAGGAAUUUGGUCAUGUGGCAGGAUUUAAGUUGAACAAGUUAAAAACUAAGGUGCUUGAGAAAAAUUUAACACCGAUUGAGAAAGAGAGGUUUCAGAAGGAGACAGGUUUAACAUUGGUUAAGAAAGUAAAAUACCUGGGGGUUAAUAUGACCGCUAAGAACUUAAACCUAUUUAAAGACAAUUAUGAGAAAUGUUGGUCAGAAGUGAAAAAGGACCUAGAGAUAUGGUCAAACUUGAAGCUUUCCUUGUUAGGUCGAAUUGCUGUUAUAAAGAUGAAUGUAUUGCCAAGAAUGUUAUUUUUGUUUCAAUCAUUGCAAAUCUUGGACAAAAUGGACUGUUUCAAGAAGUGGCAGAGAGACAUUUCUAGAUUUGUCUGGCAGGGCAGGAAGCCCAGAAUAAAAUUUAAAAUAUUAACUGAUGCAAAGGACAGAGGUGGAUUUGCCCUGCCAGACCUUAAACUUUAUUAUGAAUCAGCAGCAUUCUGCUGGUUGAAAGAAUGGCUGCUUCUUGAGAACACAGACAUUUUGGAUUUAGAAGGUUUCAAUAAUGUUUUUGGGUGGCAUGCAUAUUUGUGGUAUGACAAGGUUAAAGCACAUAAAGCAUUUAAAAACCAUAUUGUUAGGAAAGCAUUGUUAAAUGUCUGGAUAAGAUAUAAGGACUUACUUGAAAAUAAAACCCCAAGGUGGUUGUCACCGAUGGAAGCAAAGGCUCAGAAAAAGCUCAAUAUGGAGGCCAAAUGGCCGAAAUAUUGGGAAAUUUUGGAACAAGAAGGAGACAAAUUGAAAUUGCAGAGUUUUGAGAAAUUAAAAGAUAAAGUGCGAGACUGGCUUCAUUAUUAUCAGAUAAUGGAGGCAUACAAUUUGGACAAGAAAAUUGGCUUCCAGGUGGAAAAAUCAAAAUUAGAAACAGAACUGUUAGAACCCAAAACUAAGAUUUUGUCAAAGAUGUAUAACUUGCUGUUGAAAUGGAAUACUCAGGAUGAAACGGUGAAAUCUGCUAUGAUCAAAUGGGCACAAGAUGUUGGACAUAACAUUAUGUUUGCUGACUGGGAACAGUUGUGGACUACAGGUAUGAAAUUUACGGCAUGUAAUGCCUUAAGAGAGAAUAUUAUGAAAAUGAUAUACAGGUGGUACAUGACACCAGUCAAGCUUGCAAAAAUCUAUCAUUUGCCCGAUAAUAAAUGUUGGAAAUGUAAGGAAAAUGAAGGUACAUUCUUUCACCUUUGGUGGACGUGCCCAAAGAUUAAGGCUUUCUGGAAGAUGAUCUAUAAUGAAAUGAAAAAGGUAUUUAAAUAUACCUUUCUAAAGAAACCAGAGGCCUUCUAUGAAACACAGUAGUAGAGCAAUUCAAACUUUCCUUACACCUCUCUCUCUCUCUCUCUCUCUCUCUCUCUCUCUCGUGCGCACUCUCUGUCUCUCUCUCACUCUCUCUGUGUAUGUAUUUGAGGGUUGUGGGAGGGUUGGAACAAGAAAAAGCACACACACACAUUUCCCAGCUGACCCAAAACAUGCAGGCAAUACUGGAUUAUGCUGAAAUGGCAAGACUGACUGGGAAAAUCAGAAAUCAGGAGGAUCAAAACUUCAGUAGAGAUUAGGACAAAGAGAGAUUAUAUUUAAAAGAACACUGUAAACACUUGAACUCUUUGGCAUGCUUUAAAUAACUCUUGCAAUGUGACAAAGACUUUGAAUACUAUGGAAGAUAGAAAUUUGGCUGAAUUUUCAAUAUGCAGUUGACAAAGAUAUUUUAAGAACCCACGAAGGGGACGUCCUAAGAUUCGGAAGAAUCUUGUUUUAUUCUUAAUUUUUGCAAGAAUGUUAGUUGUAUGAAUGAAUUUGUAAAACCAUAUGCACACACGUGCACACACAAAAGCUAGCAAGCAAGCAAAUGGGGAAGAUGCAAAAUGGACCAUUCCAAAAGUAGGAAGGGAAGCCAGCUCAGGACCCACUGGAUCCCAAUAUGGUUUAACAAUCAUUGCCAGCUAGCACUGGAUCUCAUCUGGACCUAAGCUCUGCAGCAACCCAGGGCUGGUACAGGGACUGGGACAAAAUCAUUAUGCGCUCUUCAUUUUCUGCCUUGAGCAGCAAAUCUAUGGUUACACUGAUGGCUCUGCAAAACCCUGCCGGGUAAGAGGGUGGGAUGAGAGGGAUUAGGAUUUCAGCCUAAACCAUUAAAAUACAGUACAAUAAAACCAGAACCAAUUGAUUAAAACUGAAACUCAGUUUAAAUCUCAGUUGUAUGUGUACUGUGACCCUAAUAAUUUGUAUUUGCUGGGUGGGAAAUUAGGUCUUGUUUCCCUGCCGGCCUUUCCACAGAAACCUUUGUCAUGCCACCUCUUCGCAGAGUGACCUAAAGUAACUGGGAAGAGUGUUCGUUUUUGUUGGUGCUAGGCAAGGUUCUCUCUCCCCGUCCUCUUUCAGGAUAGCCUUUGUGAAUUGCAACACCACUACAGUGGUACCUCAGCUUACAUACGCUUCAGGUUACAUACGCUUCAGGUUACAGACUCUGCUAACCCAGAAAUCAUGCUUCAGGUUCAGAACUUUGCUUCAGGAUGAGAACAGAAAUCGUGCUCCGGCAGCACGGCGACAGCAGGAGGCCCC